rnacentral:rRNA from 1 species
AUUGAACGCUGGCGGCAUGCCUUACACAUGCAAGUCGAACGGCAGCACGGGAGCUUGCUCCUGGUGGCGAGUGGCGAACGGGUGAGUAAUACAUCGGAACAUACCCAGUAGUGGGGGAUAACGCACCGAAAGGUGCGCUAAUACCGCAUACGACCUACGGGUGAAAGCGGGGGACCGUAAGGCCUCGCGCUAUUGGAGCGGCUGAUGUCUGAUUAGCUAGUUGGUGAGGUAAAGGCUCACCAAGGCUUCGAUCAGUAGCUGGUCUGAGAGGACGAUCAGCCACACUGGGACUGAGACACGGCCCAGACUCCUACGGGAGGCAGCAGUGGGGAAUUUUGGACAAUGGGCGAAAGCCUGAUCCAGCAAUGCCGCGUGUGCGAAGAAGGCCUUCGGGUUGUAAAGCACUUUUGUCAGGGAAGAAAUCUUUUAGGCUAAUACCCUGGAAGGAUGACGGUACCUGAAGAAUAAGCACCGGCUAACUACGUGCCAGCAGCAGCCGCGG